CACGGGGGGAGCAAGCGUUGUUCGGAAUCACUGGGCGUAAAGGGCGUGUAGGCGGUCAAGUAAGUGGAAUGUGAAAUCCCCCGGCUUACCCGGGGACCUGCAUCCCAAACUGCUUGGCUUGAGUACGGGAGAGGAUGAGGGAAUUCCUGGUGUAGCGGUGAAAUGCGUAGAUAUCAGGAGGAACACCGGUGGCGAAGGCGGCAUCCUGGACCGGUAUUGACGCUGAUACGCGAAAGCGUGGGGAGCAAACAGG
rnacentral:rRNA from 1 species